UUAAUUUUAAUUUCCUUACCUUUUAACUUCUGCUCCAACUUAUGUUCAAGUUUAUGAUUGAUUGACACGAAGGUGAGUAUCCAGAUCUAUGGUUUCUAUGCUGGGUGUGAGGCGAAUCAAUCAAGGUCUGUGUAUUCUUUCAGUGAUUUCUGGUAUUGACGAUGAUACCUUCGAUGGAGAUCUAAGACCACCCCAAAGGGAGGUUUUAAAAAGGAGUUCUUAGAAAAAAACAAAAAAAUAAAUGAAAAAAGAGAUAAUGGCAUAGAACCGCUGCCUAAAACAAAGCUUUUGGAAUCGCUAAAAACCCCAUACGUGCCUCUUUAUUGUUGGCUAAUUCUUUUUCUGCUUCUCUCUCUUCCUCUUUGUCGUUGUUCUUCUUUUUUUGUCUGAGAAAUCUGUCUGAGAAAUCGAUGUUGGUAAAUUAAGCUGUGGGAGUAUCCAAAUAGUUCUGUUUGAAAAAAAAAAAAUUGUUUGUGUCGGUGCGAAAGAUUUCACCGCAUUUACUUGAAGGAGUCCCGGAUGUGCUUGCAAAGGAACUGUUUUUGGCAUCUGGUGAAGGUCCUGGCCUCGCUAAUGUCAACCCAUUGAUAAGAUCAGUGCAAGAGCUGAGAGGUACAGACAUGCGAAAUCUGCAGAGACGAGGUCGAAUUGACCGUUAAUGGAGAACCAUUCGUGGUGUGUAACGAAUGUGCCCUCCCUGUUUGUAGACCUUGCUAUAAGUACGAAAGAAGAGAAGGCAAUCAAGCUUGUCCUUAGUGCAAGACCCAUUACAAAAGGCUUAAAGGAAGUCCAAGGGUUGAGAAUGAUGAAGAGGAAGAUGACACUGAUGAUAUAGACAAUGAGUUUGAUUACAUGAACAAUGGUGGGAUUGGAUUUGAUCAGGUAUGUUUUUGAAUUCUAAAGUAUUUAAUUGUAUAUAUGGUAUACUGAGUUUUGUGUAAUUGUAUAUAUGGUAUAUUGAGUUAUGUAUAUAUGCUAUA